rnacentral:rRNA from 1 species
CCAGACUCCUACGGGAGGCAGCAGUGGGGAAUAUUGGGCAAUGGGCGCAAGCCUGACCCAGCAACGCCGCGUGAAGGAAGAAGGCUUUCGGGUUGUAAACUUCUUUUAUGAGGGACGAAACAAAUGACGGUACCUCAUGAAUAAGCCACGGCUAACUACGUGCCAGCAGCCGCGGUAAUACGGAGGAUGCGAGCGUUAUCCGGAUUUAUUGGGUUUAAAGGGUGCGUAGGCGGAAUAUCAAGUCAGCGGUAAAAAUUCGGGGCUCAACCCCGUCUUGCCGUUGAAACUGAUGUUCUUGAGUGGGCGAGAAGUAUGCGGAAUGCGUGGUGUAGCGGUGAAAUGCAUAGAUAUCACGCAGAACCCCGAUUGCGAAGGCAGCCUUCCGGCGCCCUACUGACGCUGAGGCACGAAAGUGCGGGGAUCGAACAGGAUUAGAUACCCCGGUA